rnacentral:rRNA from 1 species
CGGAGGAUCAUUACCGAGUGAGGGCCCUCUGGGUCCAACCUCCCACCCGUGUUUAUUUACCUUGUUGCUUCGGCGAGCCUGCCUUUUGGCUGCCGGGGGACGUCAGUCCCCGGGUCCGUGCUCGCCGGAGACACCUUAGAACUCUGUCUGAAGAUUGUAGUCUGAGAUUAAAUAUAAAUUAUUUAAAACUUUCAACAACGGAUCUCUUGGUUCCGGCAUCGAUGAAGAACGCAGCGAAAUGCGAUACGUAAUGUGAAUUGCAGAAUUCAGUGAAUCAUCGAGUCUUUGAACGCACAUUGCGCCCUCUGGUAUUCCGGAGGGCAUGCCUGUCCGAGCGUCAUUGCUGCCCUCAAGCACGGCUUGUGUGUUGGGCCCCGUCCUCCUUCCGGGGGACGGGUCCGAAAGGCAGCGGCGGCACCGCGUCCGGUCCUCAAGCGUAUGGGGCUUUGUCACUCGCUUUGUAGGCCUGGCCGGCGCUUGCCGAUCAACCAAACUUUUUAUCAGGUUGACCUCGGAUCAGGUAGGGAUACCCGCUGAACUUAAGCAUAUCAAUAAGCGGAGGAAAAGAAACCAACAGGGAUUACCUCAGUAACGGCGAGUGAAGCGGUAAGAGCUCAAAUUUGAAAGCUGGCUCCUUCGGGGUCCGCAUUGUAAUUUGCAGAGGAUGCUUCGGGAGCGGUCCCCAUCUAAGUGCCCUGGAACGGGACGUCAUAGAGGGUGAGAAUCCCGUAUGGGAUGGGGUGUCCGCGCCCGUGUGAAGCUCCUUCGACGAGUCGAGUUGUUUGGGAAUGCAGCUCUAAAUGGGUGGUAAAUUUCAUCUAAAGCUAAAUAUUGGCCGGAGACCGAUAGCGCACAAGUAGAGUGAUCGAAAGAUGAAAAGCACUUUGAAAAGAGAGUUAAAAAGCACGUGAAAUUGUUGAAAGGGAAGCGCUUGCGACCAGACUCGCUCGCGGGGUUCAG